UCCUCUUUGCUAUUGCUGAUAUCUUCAAUUAUCGUGGUAGUCUCUCGAAACGUAGGUUUCAAUCAGUCUUUCUUGGAUGCAACAGCCUCUGAUGAUCCGAGAUGAAAAGUGUUUGUUUUUCGUGA